AAUGAACGUUGGCGGCGUGGAUUAGGCAUGCAAGUCGAGCGAGAAUCGUAGCAAUACGAGGACAGCGGCGAAAGGGAAAGGAACACGUGGAUACCUACCCUCAGGUUCAGGAUAGCCAUGGGAAACUAUAGGUAAUACUGAAUAAUAUCUCCGGAUCAAAGGUGUGAUUCCACAUGAGGAGGGGUCCGCGUCCUAUUAGCUAGUUGGUGAGGUAACGGCUCACCAAGGCGAAGAUGGGUACGGGAUGUGAGAGCAUGAUCCCGCUCAUUGGGGCUGAGACACUGCCCAGACACCUACGGGUGGCUGCAGUCGAGAAUCUUCGGCAAUGGGGGAAACCCUGACCGAGCGACGCCGCGUGCGAGAUGAAGGCCUUCGGGUUGUAAAUCGCUGUCAGUGGGGAGGAAAUGCUGGUGGGUUCUCCCAUCAGUUUGACCUAUCCGCAGAGGAAGGACGGGCUAAGUUCGUGCCAGCAGCCGCAGUAA
rnacentral:rRNA from 1 species